UGGCGGCGUGCCUAAUACAUGCAAGUCGAACGAACUCUGGUAUUGAUUGGUGCUUGCAUCAUGAUUUACAUUUGAGUGAGUGGCGAACUGGUGAGUAACACGUGGGAAACCUGCCCAGAAGCGGGGGAUAACACCUGGAAACAGAUGCUAAUACCGCAUAACAACUUGGACCGCAUGGUCCGAGUUUGAAAGAUGGCUUCGGCUAUCACUUUUGGAUGGUCCCGCGGCGUAUUAGCUAGAUGGUGGGGUAACGGCUCACCAUGGCAAUGAUACGUAGCCGACCUGAGAGGGUAAUCGGCCACAUUGGGACUGAGACACGGCCCAAACUCCUACGGGAGGCAGCAGUAGGGAAUCUUCCACAAUGGACGAAAGUCUGAUGGAGCAACGCCGCGUGAGUGAAGAAGGGUUUCGGCUCGUAAAACUCUGUUGUUAAAGAAGAACAUAUCUGAGAGUAACUGUUCAGGUAUUGACGGUAUUUAACCAGAAAGCCACGGCUAACUACGUGCCAGCAGCCGCGGUAAUACGUAGGUGGCAAGCGUUGUCCGGAUUUAUUGGGCGUAAAGCGAGCGCAGGCGGUUUUUUAAGUCUGAUGUGAAAGCCUUCGGCUCAACCGAAGAAGUGCAUCGGAAACUGGGAAACUUGAGUGCAGAAGAGGACAGUGGAACUCCAUGUGUAGCGGUGAAAUGCGUAGAUAUAUGGAAGAACACCAGUGGCGAAGGCGGCUGUCUGGUCUGUAACUGACGCUGAGGCUCGAAAGUAUGGGUAGCAAACAGGAUUAGAUACCCUGGUAGUCCAUACCGUAAACGAUGAAUGCUAAGUGUUGGAGGGUUUCCGCCCUUCAGUGCUGCAGCUAACGCAUUAAGCAUUCCGCCUGGGGAGUACGGCCGCAAAGCUGAAACUCAAAGGAAUUGACC
rnacentral:rRNA from 2 species